UUCUUCAUUUGUUAUUCUAUCACGUCACGAAAUUUUAUGCAAUUCGUAAAAUGCUCGAGACCAGUAACAUUACAUAUUAAAUACUUCUCGAUUGUGCUCUGCAUUGUCUAGGUUUCACACCUAUAUAACCAUUGCAGAUUCCAUACAUAUAUCUUCAAACAUUUAUCCCUUGUUUUGAGUCCAACGCUAUUCACGGUUUUAUUUGUGAUAUUUAAAGGUAAAUAAUAUGUGUGGUUAUAGUGUGUUGCAUGCCAUUUAUAAGUUAACAAUCAUUAUCAAAUAUGAUUGUUGAACCCAAACAAAAAAAAUGUACAGCAUUUAAUUGUGGUUUAAAAUUACUUUAAAAUUCUUAAGUUUUACAUUUUAAGUAAGUAGUUAAAUAUUUAUUGUAUUGCUAAAUAUCUUAUCUGAAUAACUAUCUUUUUUAAUAGCAGCUAGUCAAAUCUUAGUUUGCAAGUACUCGUUUUUUAACAAAAUAUAAGCAUUUAAUAAAACAUAUUAAUUUUGUUUUUAAAACUAUUAAAUUAUUGUUUGAAUCCAAAUAAUCUAGUUAUUAUCAUGAAUAAAUACUGAUAAGAAAAACAUGACCAAUAGUCAUUAUUCACGCGUAAAAUACUAUGGAAAUGCAUUUAUUUUAUUAUUUAUUAACAAAUAAUAAAGAUAGGUAUAAUAUACUCGUGUAAAUUGAAAUAAUAUUUCACUGUUGUAUUAGAUUCACUUCAUAUGUACAAAAGGCUUUCGAAAUAAGCUUUCGUGCAACGUCAACUAACCUAUACAUCUAUAUAAUAUUAAAAGUCAAUGUUUUUAUUAUCAGUUCAAAUAGACUAAGCACAAACCGUAUACAACAAUAAUAAUAUUAUUAUAUAUUAUAGGCUCUAUAUUUUCGUUCAAUAUGUUGAAUUUGAUAAAAAAAAAAAGUAUUAUAUUGAUGAUUUAUUAUUAUAACACAUAGAAAAAAUACUUACUUCCUGUUGUUAUUUUACAAUUAUUGUAUGAUUCUGAGUAGAGGUCAAUAAAAAUGUUGUUAUUAAAUUUAAAUUAAAUAUAAUUUUUAUAAAAUUUAAGUUAUAUCAAAAAGUAAGUAUACCUUUGUUAUUUUUACGAGGAUUCUUCAAAAUGUAAACAUUUUAGUAGGAAAAACUUAAUCCUUGUGUCAAAUUUGUAAGCAUUCAUAAAAAAAGAAAUCUUGAAACAUUCGGAAUAACAUAAAAAUUUUAAAUAUCUCAAAAAUGUCAAAAUAUUUCGGUAAUUAUUAGUAUACUACAUUAAAAAAAUACUAGAAGAAGUAAAAAUUCAGAAAAAAUUUCAGGUCUCUUCUAUAAUUCUACUCUAAUUUGCGAUACCUCUCAAUGAAUUACAACGAAAAUACAAAACCGACUUUUAUAAAAAUCUGGUACGUUACGUAAUAAUAUUACUGUUUUUCUACGAGUUUUCGAUUUUUCCUCAAAAUUAUUAUAAUCAAAAAGAUUUCCACUGUGCACCUACCAGAUUUAAAAUGCUACAAGAAAACUCCUAUGCAUUAUUCGAUCGAAACAAGUGUUCUGUUCAAAAACUAUCGAUUGCAAUUGGAA